UCCCACCCAAGGUUCCUGAUGGGAGUACACGCAGGAGGCCUGAGAAUCUGCAUUCCCAAUAAGUUCCCAAAAGGAUGUUGUUGGUCCUUGGACACACCUUGGGUAGUCUGGAUGAGAUGGGAGAGAAGGCCAGGUGCAUCUGCAGGGGGCCAUGGGGGGCCCUGGGAACUGAUUUUCUCCAGCUGUCACCUGGCCUGUGGACAGCCAGCCACACCAGCCCAUGUUCUGUGAGACUCCGCCAUCUACUGGAUGCAUCUAUCCCAUGCUGGAACUGGGGCGGUGCUAUAUUUAGGGCCUGAUUGAAGGAGGAACUUUCAGAGGUGAAGUCCUUCCCAUCACGCUGAGGGGGUAGGGGAACAGCCUUUGUAACAUCUGGGCCAUCUGCCCCUUCAGAUGACUCAGUUUCCAGUACGGAUGUUGGUGCCUGAAUUAACCUAGGAAAAUGAAAACAACAUGCACUUGCAAGCAUGUGAAGUAAGUUUUCACCAAACUGCUACUCUUUUUAGCUUUUAAAAACUCAGUAUCCAGUUAUUUUAAUGUACUAAAUGCAAAUGUUGGUGGUAACAUUUAAAUGGAAAAUGAUUGUGUAUCUUUAUGAAGUUUUCCUACAGGUACUCUAUAGGUGGUUGCAUAAAGCGUGUUUAAAAUGUGAUGAUUCACUUAUCAAACUAAGAAAAAAAAAAAAAAACCAAACCAAUAGCACUGUUGGCAAGCAUGUGCUGACACAGAUAUGCUUGUACAUUUAGUGGGAGUGUGACCCAAAAGUAAGUUGACACCAGUUUUUACACUGUGGGGUGGUGGUUCGAGUGCAGCCUCUGGAACUGGGCUAGACCUAGGUUUCACUUCUGGCCUGGGGAGAAUCUGUGUUACGUUGAUCAAGGCACUUUCUUUUUCUGGUAUGAAUUUCUUCAACCAGAAAUGAGGAACUGGAAGAUGGUCGAUGUAUCUCAAACUUUAUUUUUUUAAUUUAAUUUUAAUUUAAAAAAAUAGAUUUUUAGGGGAUCCCUGGGUGGCUCAGAGGUUUGGCGCCUGCCUUUGGCCCAGGGCGUGAUCCUGGGGUCCCGGGAUCGAGUCCCAUGUCGGGCUCCCAGGAUGGAGCCUGCUUCUCUCUCUGCCUGUGUCUCUGCCUC
rnacentral:lncRNA from 1 species